rnacentral:lncRNA from 1 species
GUGUUGAGGAGGGGGAAUUAAUAAAUUAAUCCAUUAUCUGCUCUGAAAAUCUCAUCAGCACUGCUUCACAAGGGACACGGUUACAUUUCUCACUGCAUCUCUCUCUGAUACAGAGUGAUGGGACGAUUGAUACUGGAGCUCCAAUGCGGUUUUCAAAGCACUACUGAUUCAACACAAUGUUGCAAUGCCUGUAUUGCAAUACAACAUGAUGAGGCCAUUGGAAUGUUCGGACAUCAGACUGCGGUUGAAAAUUAGCCGGCUGGGUAAAACCGGCACUUUUACCGAAACGUUGAUUAAUGUGCACUGUCCCUGUAAAAAAAAAAUUAUAAUAAUAAUAAUAAUAAAAAAUACUUGGACCAUCUGGCAGGUGUAGAGCCCUCUGGACAUCAGUCUACCAUCUGACAGGUGUAGAGCCCUCUGUUGUAGUCUACCAUCUAACAGGUGUAGAGCCCUCUGGACAUCAGUCUACCAUCUGACAGGUGUAGAGCCCUCUGCUGUAGUCUACCAUCUAACAGGUGUAGAGCCCUCUGGACAUCAGUCUACCAUCUGACAGGUGUAGAGCCCUCUGGAUAUCAGUCUACCAUCUGACAGGUGUAGAGCCCUCUGUUGUAGUCUACCAUCUGACAGGUGUAGAGCCCUCUGGACAUCAGUCUACCAUCUGACAGGUGUAGAGCCCUCUGGACAUCAGUCUACCAUCUGACAGGUGUAGAGCCCUCUGGACAUCAGUCUACCAUCUGACAGGUGUAGAGCCCUCUGGACAUCAGUCUACCAUCUGACAGGUGUAGAGGCCUCUGGACAUCAGUCUACCAUCUGACAGGUGUAGAACCCUCUGUUGUAGUCUACCAUCUGACAGGUGUAGAGCCCUCUGGACAUCAGUCUACCAUCUGACAG